AUUUAUUAUUAUUAUUAUCAUUAUUAUUUUUUUCCCUUCUUUCACUGGUACUUAAUUUAUCAACCCUGUAAGGAUGAAAGGCAAAGUUGACCUCAGUGGAAUUUGAACUCAGAACAUAGCAUGCAUGUGUGUGUGUUUUGUUGCAGUCAAAAAAAUACUUUUUCUGAGAAUAUUUUGCAUCUGGCAUGUUAAUGAUUCUGCCAGCUCACUGCCUUAACCAACUGUCUAAUAACAAUAAUAUACAUAUGACAGAACCAGUGCAUGUAUUUAUUAUUAGCUUAAUGACCCUCUUGAGACACAAUUAAAUGUUGAUUAGAUUUGUCUGAGAUUAUUAGGCCCUGAAAAACACUGCCAGACUUGUAUUUUUUCAUUUGGUUUUCCAAGUAAGCUUGGCUUUGGUAAUUUUAAUUUAUAGAUGAAAAAAUAGUAAUGACACAGUUUGUUGUUGUAAUAAUAAUAAUAAUAAUAAUAAUAAAAAUAAUAAUAAUAAAAAUAUAGCUUUUAGUCAGUUCUGAUCAGUUAAACCUUUGAUUGAAGGCAUUCAAGGUAGGAUGGUCAUGGCUUGAAUGUUUUUGAUCAUGAUCUGGGUAAAACAGAGUCGACCUAGGGUUAAACAAUAGCAACCAGCUCAAGUCUUUUCUCUGUUUAGUAAAUCUAAUAUGAUAUGAAUGAAAGAAUAUUUGCUUCAAUUAUGAAUAAUAAAUAGACCAGAUUGAUAAAAAAAAACAAAAAAACAGUAAAGUGUUGUAGUGAGAGAAGGAGAGGAGAACAAAAAUAAAACAAAACACACAUAUAUAUAUAUACAUAUAUAUAUACAUAUAUAGUUGAAAUUUACAGAAAAACAAAAGAUGAAGACAGGUGUAUAAACAACAAACAGGUGUAUUAGUUUAGCGCUCGGGAAGUUGAAAUAAUCUUUUACAUUUCGAGCAUAUGCUCUUCAACAGAAGGGAACACAAGGAAAUAAACAGAGAGAGAAUAAAAAAACUUUUGGAACUAGCGGUCAAUCAUGGUAGCACAUACACAUACACAUAUAUCUACAUAUAUAAACAAGUGAUAGAGAGAUUACAUAAGACCUCAAAGUCCCUUGUAUUCUUUCCUGCUACAUGGUGUACUACUACUGAGAGCAACAAGCUAUGAUACUUGUACAUUUGUUUAAAGACUUCCCAAACCUAUCCCCACUUUUUUUCAAUUUUGCUGGGUCCCAAAGAACUCAUUUUGUCUGGUGAUAGGUAGUGUGAAUUAGAUUUAAAGUGCACAAAGCUCUUUAAAUACAAUAAGCCAUCUUAUCCAGUGCUCUGACAAUUCCAUCUGUCCACUGUCAAGCACUCCUCCACAUGGCCCAGUCCUUGCUGCAGCAUGGGAGCUUGCUUACCCCAAUGCCCUAGUAGGGCAUUCCAUGUACAGGUCAAACGAGAAGGGCGAGUCUAAUAUGGACCACCUCUUCCCACAGGUGAAAAUGUGUUUGUGUAGGGUCAACGCUCCUUCUGAGGAAAAAGUAAAGUUAUGGAAGCAUCAAUGACAAUUCAAAAUGAAAAAGACCUGAGAGAUGAAAGCCUUCUCUCAGAGACGCAUAUGAUGCAGGGUAGCAAAAUCUGAAAGGAAGCUGCAAGCCCAGAAAAAACAAGCAAGGGUCCAACUGCAGAGAAGCAGAAUGAUGGCUUAAAGAAGAAAAACUGUUGAUGGCCUUUGCUCGGUAGGGAGUGAUGGCACUCAGAAUUCCUCAAACUUUACACUCAGAAUUCCUCAAACUUUAAAGAAUGAAAGGCAAAUUAACUUUGGAAGGAUCCAAGAGAGAGAAAGAGAGAGCAAAGAGAGAGCAAAAAGGCAGACAAAUAUGACAAGGCUCUAUCUGAUUGCCUUGUAAUAUCUAUCUAACACAUCUGUCUGUCUGUCUGUCUAUCUAUCUAUCUAUACGGACAGACAGACAGCUAGAUAGAUAGACAAGCUGACAGCUAGAUAGAUAGGUAGACAGAUAGCUAGAUAGAUAGGUAGACAGGCAGAUAGAUAGAUAGCUAGAUAGAUAGGUAGACAGACAGGUAGACAGCUAGCUAGAUAGGUAGACAGACAGACAGACAGCUAGCUAGAUAGGUAGACAGACAGACAGACAGCUAGAUAGAUAGGUAGACAGACAGCUAGAUAGAUAGACAAGCUGACAGCUUGAUAGGUAGACAGACAGACAGCUAGCUAGAUAGGUAGACAGAGAGACAGCUAGCUAGAUAGGUAGACAGACAGACAGCUAGAUAGAUAGGUAGACAGACAGACAGCUAGAUAGAUAGACAGACAGACAGACAGACAGCUAGAUAGACAAGUAGACAGACAGCUAGCUAGAUAGGUAGACAGAUAGCUAGAUAGAUAGGUAGACAGACAGGCAGACAGAUAGAUAGAUAAGUAGACAAACAGGUAGACAGAUAGGUAGGUAGACAGGUGGGCAAGUGGACAGACAGACAGACAGACAGACAGGCAGAUAGUUAGAUAGAUAGGUAGGCAGAUAAAUAGAUAAUCACAAGGAAAGAUAUAACAAAUGAUAGUCUUGGCACAUGACAAUUGAUAUCUCUUUUAGAACGUUAGAGAUAUGGAAGACUUGUCAUAUUCUAGAAACAACCCUAGUCAUAAGACAUAUCACAGUGACUAGCAUCCUUCUGAGAAUCAUUAUUGCAUUAUUAAACAGUGCAACAAUAGGGAUAUUUUGUCAGUGGGUUCUAGUCUAGAAAUAAGCAUCCUACAGACAAAAUGUUGCAUCACAUACAAAGUGAGACUGACUUAAUGUUAGCUAAAGGUUUGCAUUUAUAUUUCAAGGCUGAGAAAACCGAUUAAUUCUGUUAUUCUUAGAGGUUCAAACACAUACAUAUUUAUACAUAUUCAAAUAUAAAAAAGGGGUACUUUUACUAAAUUUUCAGAAUCAAAGAAACUUAUGCAUUAACAAAUGCACAGGUGCGCACACACAGAGUCAGUCAGUCAGUUAUGGACCUUAGGGUGGAUACAGAUGCCAUUACCACUUUGACUUACAUGGGUGCCAAAACACCUAAGUAAUCUAUGUCAUUUACCAUUGGUUACACUGUAUAUAAUCUUUCUCAUACACACAGAGAUGCAGUCAAAUAUAUAUACAUAUAUAUAUACACCGUACAUCCUCGAGUAUAGUUCGCCCUUGAGUAUAAUAUGCAGGGGAUUUUUAGGGGGCUGUACCUCUGAAAAACCUAAACCUUGUGUAUAAUGCGCACCCCUUCUCUAACUUGAGUCGUGUGUAAUUAAGCCAGCAGCACCUUGUCGAACAAACACUUCUGCGCAUGUGUAAUACAAUAAUGGUGAUGUUCUUAACUGUUAUAUGGGAAUGUAAAUAUGUUUGCAAAUUGGUUUUGUUACAUGUUAUUCUGUGUUCUGAAAACUUUUAUUUUAAUAAAUGUUGCUCACUGCAAGUUAUGGAUGAUUCUUUUAUGACUUCAUUGCUUUCAGGCUUAGCUUAAGGUAUUUACAAGCCUGACAUCACAAAAUGCGACUGAAUAAACAUUGCCGGACAGCAAAUAGAGACUCGGACAUUGCUUAGAAAAUAUUUUUCAUUUUUAACCUCGUAUAUAGUACGCACUAGAGAUUUUGACCUUUAAAUUUUG
rnacentral:lncRNA from 1 species